GACGAACGCUGGCGGCGUACUUAACACAUGCAAGUCGAACGGAAAGGCCCCUUUGGGGGUACUCGAGUGGCGAACGGGUGAGUAACACGUGAGUAACCUGCCCUUGACUUCGGGAUAACUUCAGGAAACUGGGGCUAAUACCGGAUAGGAAUCCUUGCUGCAUGGUGGGGGUUGGAAAGCUUCGGCGGUUUUGGAUGGACUCGCGGCUUAUCAGCUUGUUGGUGGGGUAGUGGCUUACCAAGGCUUUGACGGGUAGCCGGCCUGAGAGGGCGACCGGCCACAUUGGGACUGAGAUACGGCCCAGACUCCUACGGGAGGCAGCAGUGGGGAAUAUUGCACAAUGGGCGGAAGCCUGAUUCAGCAACGCCGCGUGCGGGAUGACGGCCUUCGGGUUGUAAACCGCUUUCAGCAGGGGCGAAGCUUGUGGUGACGGUACCUGCAGAAGAAGCACCGGCUAACUACGUG
rnacentral:rRNA from 1 species